ACGCCGCUCAUCCAAGCGUCAGGAAGACGCUGCACCUCCCAGGCCCCACCAGCCGCGGCUCCGGCUCGUAACCCACAGCCCACCGCCGGCGGCUGGGCGCUGCCGAGCCUCGGGGCGCGCGCAGUUGGCGUCUGCCAGUGCCAAGACUGUGCCGCCCCCACAGCCGAGGCGCGAAAGGGGGACCCCCGGCCUCUGGGCCGCUGCCUUCGCUUUCUCUUCGUUGUUGCGAACGCCGUCCGCUCAGGAGGCGCCCCGCGACCGGCGCGAUGAGUGCCAACGAGGACCAGGAGAUGGAACUAGAAGCAUUACGCUCCAUUUAUGAAGGAGAUGAAAGUUUCCGGGAAUUAAGUCCAGUUUCUUUUCAAUAUAGGAUAGGUGAAAAUGGUGAUCCCAAAGCCUUCUUAAUAGAGAUUUCCUGGACAGAAACAUAUCCCCAAACACCUCCAAUUCUAUCUAUGAACGCUUUUUUUAACAACACCAUAUCAUCAGCUGUAAAGCAGAGUAUAUUAGCGAAGCUACAGGAAGCAGUAGAAGCUAAUCUUGGAACCGCUAUGACCUAUACAUUGUUCGAAUAUGCCAAAGACAAUAAAGAGCAGUUCAUGGAGAAUCACAAUCCCAUCAAUUCCGCAACAUCGAUAAGCAAUAUCAUUUCAAUUGAAACUCCUAAUACAGCCCCAUCAAGUAAGAAAAAAGACAAAAAAGAACAACUUUCAAAAGCCCAGAAGCGUAAGCUGGCAGACAAAACAGAUCACAAAGGAGAACUUCCUCGAGGCUGGAACUGGGUUGAUGUUGUGAAGGUAUAUAACAUUUAUAUUCUAGUCUUUAAACUUGUUACAAUUAUUACCAGCAAAUAAUGAAAUUCUUAUUUUUUGUUUUCCCCUUCACAACCUUUGGAAUUCACUGCGAUGUCUGUUUCCUUUUUUACAUUCAGCAUUUAAGCAAAACUGGCUCUAAGGAUGAUGAGUAGCGCUUGGAAUUUGAGACAAGGAAAGAGCAUUCUUUAAAGAGUAAAACUGGGUUCAAAAUCUUUCAUUACUAUUUUCCAGUAUUGAGGCGACUUUUUAUAAAACACAAUUUUUUGUAUGUUUCUUACAUUAAAAAGGUUGUAAGUUGAAAGUUCA